UGCUGGCCGCCUUCGCCGCCGGGGUGCUGGUGGGCUGGCAGGCCGGCCGCGCCCGCCGCCGCUUCCUCCGCUGGCGCCAGCGCCGUCUCCAGCGCCGCCUGGACGCCGCCCGGGAGCAGCUGGAAGCGGCCUGAGCUCAGCAGAACCCGGUUGACCCCCACCCCGCGCCGGUGGAAACCAGGCGGACACGGCCAGCUUCCGUGGAACGGGAGGGCAUGUCGUCUGUCCUUCAGAAGAUCUGCAUCAGACCGACCUGAGGAAACGCCGAGGAACAACGAUUCCAAAUGAAUUUCCUCGUUUUGGCUGUAUUUGUCUGGCUUGAAGUUUGCUGCCGAGGCCCACUGGCCAAGAAGCGCUGCUGACACAUUAAACUCGCAAAAACCAUGACACAGUGUUCCUAGAUGUGCUUAUUUCUCCGAUCAGCGAAAACAUGCCUUACAGGCACCUGUAAUGAGCGGCGAAUCUCAUUAGGAAAAUGUGCCCGUGAAAAAGACUGGUGGGGACAAUUAAGCGGUGCAAUAGCUGCAUGUGUCGGUAGGAUGAAUGACAAAAUUAAAUGAGGGAUGCUUGCGCUUUGGAUUCUGAA